AUUCCUCUCUUCAAAAAUGGAUUUUUGGAGCUGGGAGUUGGAAUAGGAGCUUGCUCCGUCCACUCCAUGCAUCGACCUGGUAUUGCAGUACUUCCAGGAACGGUGCAAAAAAA
rnacentral:snRNA from 1 species